ACCAACCUUUCUUCUUCUUCUUCCUCGCACGACAACACCACCCCCCUCCCUUCGAUUUUCUUUCUUCUUUCCUCCCAGGCGCACGCCGCCUCCGUUCACUGUCCAAUCCCGCGAACGCCGCGACUCCCUUCACUGCCUCAUCAGAUCGCCGCCGUGCCUUAUUCGUUGCUCAGAUUCGAAGUCAUCGCCGCUCGUCCAACCGAUUUCUCCUCCAUUCGCGACCGCGUUGCCCAGCUGAGGGCGUCGUUUUUGUUCGUCUACUGCCGCUUUGCCGGAAACCCAUCGUUUCAAGCCUUCAGCCUAGCUCGUCGUUUGUUCGAUCCGUCCAGCCGCCGCUCCCUCGCGCCUCAUAGGCCCAGACCCGAUCAACUACCGCCUCUUCACGUUUCGCCAGACCCAGAUCCGUCGUCGGUCGUUUACCUUGUCGCCAUCGGAUCUGUUCUAGGUGAGUUUUAGCAAAGCUUGGACUUAGAGGGAGCGUCGUCAAGGGAGGUUGGAAGUGAUCUUCAUCCUUUGGAAUUAGGAUCGCUACUUCGAGUUGUUGCCAUAGUUUGGCCGUCUGAUUUUUGUUAUCCGUAGAGUUUCGUUUGAGGUAAGGUUAGAGAUGCACUGGCGAUCGCACAACGGAGUUCGUGAUCGUGCCACUGGGACUAGUUUUUACGCUUCCGCAUCAUGAAAUUUAGAGUCCUUAUUUUUCCCUUAAUGUUUAGUUUUACUGUUUGAAUCUUCUUAUUAAGGAUUGUUUUUUUUAUAUAUUUUUAAUAGUCUUUACGAAUUAUGGGUACCUUAUUAUUGUUUUAAUAAUUGUAUUUAAUAAAUGGCUUUUAAACUUCUCUUGUC